rnacentral:lncRNA from 1 species
CAGAAUACUUAAGACCCCAAAAGAUGCUUCAUGGAACCUCUUAGUCUUCAACUCUUCAUUUAAUUAUCUAUACUACAAGGACAUAUGAAUAGUUACUGGUGUUAUAUUAUGUUUGAGAGCAGAUAUAUUAAAACAAACAAACUUUACAAAAUUAGAUACCGCAGCGUUCUUUACUACAAUGAGAUAUGAAAUAAUUAACAAGAUCUUUACACACCAGUCAAUCGAUUCAAAAGUUUCAGAGUAAGAAGUAAAGAACUCAGAAUAUGAAGAUCAGUGCUAGUCAGGUUACCUUAUUAAUUUUCGGAAAAGGAAACAAACGCCAUUUAAAUUUUCCUAAGUUAACGAUGAAAGCAUUGAUGUUCGUCUCCAAACUUUUUGACUUCCAACGACAAACAUCCGUUACUGAUGAAAACUAGACUCAGAAUAGUUUCGUCAAAUCAUCAGAUGACUUAAUACUCAACUGCUAACAUCAGAUCUGACUUAAUAGUCAAUUCAUUGUUAGUAUGUUAAGAAAACUAGCCCCUAAUUAAUUACUUGUAAUACAAAAAGCAACUCACACACACACACACACAAAGAGAAGGAAAAACUAGUUCCACUAAGUAUGUUGAUGAUUCCUAUAUGUAGUCUGAAGAUUGAUUGGAGAUAUGGAGCACUAACGACACACUUGAUACAUGAACUGAUGAGACAGCUAAUAUGCUAGGAAACAGAAUUGAGCCUGAAAAAGUUUUGGUAGAAGCAAGUGUUUUCAUCAAAUAGCUCAAUCAGAAUUAGAUCAAUUACACUUAAUCAAGAAAAAGUUGUACGAUUAACUCAAGACUUAAUCAGUUGAAAAUUGAACAAAGAAAAAGAUGGAACAGUUGCGAAUACCCAUUGCUCCAAACAAAAGAAAUAUAGAGAAAAAACAAUGUUCAUUGAAGAAAUAACAAUGGAAACUCAGUAUAUAUAUAGAGCAGUA